AUGGCGCGAGUCCGCAGCAACGGGCGGCGUGGCGGCGGCAGUGGCGGUGGAGGCGGCCGCGGCGGCAAGGGGAAAGGAAAGGGAAAAGGCCCGGGCAAGUGGAAAAUGCCGUUGUCGGUGGCGCGGAAGCAGCAGGCGGUGCUGGCGAACGUGGACCAGGUCACCGGCGAGAGGAUCCCCAAGAGCUUCGUCUUCUCGCGCGGCAAGCUCCCCUCCACGCUCCGUCACCUCCAGCAGGACCUCCGCAAGCUCAUGCUCCCCUACACCGCCCUCAAGCUCAAGGAGAAGAAGAGGAACAACCUCAAGGACUUCGUCAACGUUGCCAGUCCAUUGGGUGUUACGCAUUUCUUGAUCCUCUCGAACCCAAAGAGCUUGCCGCACUUGCGCUUCGCCAAGUCACCGCAGGGCCCAACCUACACUUGUCAGAUUUCAGAAUACGCUCUUGCGGCUGACAUCGCAAACUCCCAAAAGCGGCCUAGGUGUCCUGCAGAGAUAUUCAAAAACUCGCCUCUGGUCGUGCUCAGUGGUUUCAAUGGCCUGGGCGAGCCUUUCAAGAGUUUUGUUACCUUCUUUAGGCAUUUGGUCCCUGCUAUUGAUACAGAUACUGUUAAGCUAUCAACCUGUCAAAGAAUAUUAUUGCUACAGUAUGACAAAGAGACGGAGGCUAUCGAUUUCCGGCAUUACUCCAUCAAGCUACAGCCUGUUGGCAUCAGCCGCAAGAUUAGAAAACUCAUGCAGAACAAUCAAGUGCCAGACCUAAGGGAUCUUAAAGAUGUUAGUGAUUAUGUGACAAAAGCUGGAUAUGGAUCUGAAAGCGAACCAGACGAUGAAGCAGCGACUGUAAGUCUAGCAAGUGAUAUAGACAAAUUGAACAGAGCAUCCCGAAAAAGUGCCGUCAGACUCCAAGAGGUCGGACCAAGAAUGACCAUGCGCUUAGUUAAGGUUGAAUCUGGGCUAUGCUCGGGCGACAUCUUGUACCCACAAUCUGUUGGAAAAGAAGAUGUGAAGGAGGGACAAGAGGAAGAAGAGAUAGAAGAUGCUGAGGAUAUGAUGGAGCUGGUUGAUGGGACGGAGGAGGACGACACGGGUGACGAAGAGUAG
rnacentral:rRNA from 1 species